AACAGUCAACAACAGCUCAACAGUCUUUUUUCUUGUUCUUGAAAGCAGCCAUUAACAGUACACAAACCAAUAUCUAUUAAAGACAAAUAGUCAAAUAUCACCUCUAAAACAGAAAAAAAAACUAUUUAAAACAUGCCAAAAUGUCCAAAGAAAUCCAGAUUUGACCUUUAAAAAAACACUCAUACUUUUAAUUAGUAAAUUUACAGCCCCAUUAAGCCUAUUAUAACUAAUUACAACGUCGUGUUAACUUUUUUCAAACACGUCAGCAGUACCCGAUCUGUUCUGCUAUGUAUGAGCGUCUCUGGUCCUCAGAAAAUGGUCCCCUUAGGAGUCCCAAUGAGUCACUUAAGGUCAGAUCCAACACAACCCUGACUAAUUUAUACAAUGAAGUCAGAAACUUUUCUUUCAGUGAUUUUUUUUCUGACCUCCUAGCUUAGUAACCGUAACUAGGCAGGUAACAUAACAGCAGGGCUGUCAAGUCUUGGAAUUUUCCACAUGCUAAAGCGGUAUGCAUGAGGCUCCAGUAAGAACAAUAUUCGAUAUCUCAGGAGCUUUGAGGAUGGUAUCUUUUUUAAUCGCUUUUCCAAAACCAAAAACAACAGCAAAAUUGCGAGGAUCAGAUUAAACUGUGUGUUUGUCUUGUCUAACGUAAACUGGAAAUGUUGGUAGCCUGGCUAGCUUACUAACUACAGUAGUAACCUAGCAUUACUUCCAAAGAAAAACAGCAUAUUAUUGCUUCAUUAUUAUGUGAAGUUAACAGGUUACAUUAGCCAGUCCUGGAUGCUGCUAUAUCAGAGUUUGUUGUAACAGUAAUAGCUCUGUUUUGCACUUUAUUAGAUUUAGGGGAGUUUACACUCAAGCAACCUCAGCCAAACGUGUAAUUUGAGAAAGCAUUACAUUAGCCAAACUCAUCGGAUUGUACUCAUGCUCAAAGAACUUUCUCUUGUAAGUGAAACAUUGAUCGUUUGUAAAAUACAAACAAUUAAGCAAAUAUAAGCUCCAACAGCCUAAUCUCUGACAGGUGUCAUCUUUUUGCCAAUUCACUGAGCUAAUUAGCCAGCUAGGUAGCUACAAGCUGAUAAAAUUUGGAAGUCCUGACAUUUUGGACAACAAAAUUGUCAGAAUUGUUUUUAUUUAUUUAUGCAUGAAAUCAAAGACCUAUUGUUUCAAAAAAUAACUAUGAAUUUCAAUGGUAAAUCACAGUUGUAAUUAUAUUCUGUACGAGAUAGGAAAACUUGACAGGUGUAUCAACAGUAACUGAGGGAGCAGAGCUAAGCAUACAGCUUCAAAACGGACAACACACCUGACAGUGUGGAUCAUCCUGAUGUGAUGAGUCACCUAGUGCUACAACUAGGUUUAAACAAAAGAUGGCAGACCUCUCAAAUUGGAACAGAUCUUGUUUUUUCCAUACAUGAGAUAUAUUUUCUCAUCUGAGGGUUACUUGUGCAACGUUAACUCCUCGUUGAUACAAUGGACAUGCAAAAUGAGCUCCCAAAUGAUGACGGGCUGAUGUCAUCAUUUCUGACAGAUUUCCAGGGAAUCUCCGGAGCUACGGAGGGUUUCUCAGAUCAUCGUAACGCAGCGGUACCAAGCAGGCGUCCCCACCAAAAUGCUGCCAUCCAUCUACUGCAGUAACGGCUCAUUUUCUAUACAUUUUACCAUCAUGUCUUGUCUUUUCUUUUGUCAGUUAGAUUAUUAAAAGCAUUGCCGUCCUAUGCUGUUUUCACCAACUAAAUCUGUUGUUCCCAACAUUUUUUGCUUGUGAUCCCUUAAAAUGAAGCCAGUUAUGAUCCCUUAAUAUGGACAUGAAUUGUUAGCAGUUCAAUCGAAGAAUGAAUUUUUUUUUUACUUUGAAAGAUUGUUAGAGCCCCCAAAGAGGUGAAAAUAGCCAAUAGCGAAAUGUAAGAAAAAUAUCCAUAUUUUGUGAAACACAAAUAUAUGUUUUUAAUUGUCUUGUGACCCCUUAUAUUUAACUUGGGGCCCCAUGGGAGGUGAUUGUUUUGCAAACACCUUUAAAAGUCAUGUUGAGACUAUGUCUGUUUGCAGUUGUCUCUAUUUUAUAUAUUGUAGGCAAUAAAGCUCCCAACUAACUGUCAAAUCAACAGAUUGAUAUUUGAAUUUCAUUCUUGACCCUGAAAACAGCAGUUGAGAAAAAAUUUCACCACAAGAAUCAUAUCACAUGAUCUUUAAGAGCCAAUUAAGGUUGUCCAGUUAUCAUUGAAAUGUGGACGUUCAAACUUCCAAUUUUUUGAGGA